GACGUCCAGGGCCCUUUCUUCAGAGGCGGCCCGCCGCCCCUGUGAGGCGACCCUCCGCUGCUGCCGUCGUCGCCCACCGGCGAGUCCAUCUGGUCCUCCUGAUGCAUCAUCUCGCAGUCGCUCUCGCUCUUCACCCGGAUUUUCGACGACGCGCAUUCGGUGGGAGGAGACGUUUCGUCGACUACGAAGCGUCUAGUGACUUCGUAAAAUCUCAAGAUGGUAUGUUGGUUCAGUCUCUUGGAGAUGCUCAUAUGGGUAAGAUGAAUUUAUAGCGAUGAGUGUAUACCUUUAUAUAUGAGUGCUUGCGUUGUACUGUGUUCAGAGAAAAAAAAUUGGGCCACGUGGACCUGCAUGCAUC